rnacentral:rRNA from 1 species
CCUACGGGAGGCAGCAGUGGGGAAUAUUGGGCAAUGGGCGCAAGCCUGACCCAGCAACGCCGCGUGAAGGAAGAAGGCUUUCGGGUUGUAAACUUCUUUUAUCAGGGACGAAGCAAGUGACGGUACCUGAUGAAUAAGCCACGGCUAACUACGUGCCAGCAGCCGCGGUAAUACGUAGGUGGCAAGCGUUAUCCGGAUUUACUGGGUGUAAAGGGCGUGUAGGCGGGAGUGCAAGUCAGAGGUGAAAACUAUGGGCUCAACCCAUAGCCUGCAUUUGAAAUGGUACUUCUUGAGUGCGGGAGAGGAAAUGGGAAGUACGGGGGUAGGGGUGAAAUGCGUAGGUAUACGGAGGAACACCAGUGGCGAAGGAGGAUUGCUGGACAGUAAUUGACGCUGAGGCGCGAAGGCGGGGGGAGCAAACAGGAUUAGAUACCCCGGUAGUC